rnacentral:rRNA from 1 species
UACGUAGGGGGCUAGCGUUGUCCGGAAUCAUUGGGCGUAAAGGGCGCGUAGGCGGCCUUCUAAGUCAGACGUGAAAUCCCCCGGCUUAACCUGGGAACUGCGUCUGAUACUGGGAGGCUAGAGUGCGGGAGAGGGAUGCGGAAUUCCAGGUGUAGCGGUGAAAUGCGUAGAUAUCUAUCGGAACGCCGAAGGUGAAGACAGGUCGCUGGGCUUGUACUGACGCUGAGGAACGAAAGCGUGGGGAGCAAACGGG